GAGCUUUUCUCUAUCACUUCUCUGCUCAGCCUGUAAGUGUGCCUGGGCUUGCCCUGACCCAAGUGUAGGACCAUGCACUUGGCUGUGUUGAACUGCUUUAGACUUCAGAGUUCACUGCUGUUCUCAUCAUAUCCAGACAUGCUGCGGUGAUAAGGGACCUUGUGUUCAGAGUUUCAAUACCCUCUCCACUUGGCUCCUGGGAAGAAGUUGAGGCUUGGCUUUCUUUGAGGCUGGCCACUGCUGCUGGGCAGGAUGUGACAAGUGUGCUGGUUUGCAAGGCGGUGGUGUACAGAAGAGUGAUUUCAUUCAAACAAGAAGUUGUUGCUAG